UCUGUCUGUCGUUUGGCACAGGUGCCAGCACACUCUUCUUAAGGAGAGCUGAAUAGCAGAAUCUAAGAGGGGCAUUAGAGCUGAGAACAUUCCGGAAGAACCCUCACCUUGCAGAUGGGAACCCAAGGACCAGAAUCCCCCUGACAGAAUCUGUCUGGUCUGGAACUUGUUGCGUAUGCCAGGGUGGCCGUGACCGCGCAGUGAAGCUUGUACCUCUACUGCCUAAAAGGCAUUGGAACCACUGGAACUGGAGUUAUGGAUGGUGCUAAGUCACUGUGUGGUUCCUGGGUCCUCUGCAAGAGCAUCAGGUACUCACCCCUGCAGAGCCAUCUCUCCAGGCCCUGUUAUCAACAUUCUAGUUACUACCCUCUCCUCUGCUUGUUUGAUCUGAUUUUUUUGAAACAGGAUCUCAUUCGACCCACUGGCUUCAAAUUCACUAGCUGAAAAGGAUCUUAAACUACUAACCCUUCCACUGCACCGUAUGCCUGGUUUACGUGGUGCUGGGGACCAUGCCCAGGGCUUUGUGCUCACUAUGCAAGCUUUGUACCAAGUGAGCUACAUCUCCAGUGAUGUCUGCUUGUUUGUUUUUUUUAGGAGGGGGCAGAGAGGUGGGGAUGCUUUAUUUCUGUCCUUUGAGACAGUGUCUCAUGUUACUGGAGCUAGUCACACACUCCCUAGCUAGGAUCAGUACUAACUAGGAUUAAACUCAAGACUUUAGACAGGCUGGAGAAACAAUUUACUGACUGAGCCAGCCCCCAGGCCUCCGUUUCUCUGCUGUCUUCCCUCCACACCACAUCUUCAUCAUAGCUCAACUAGACUACAGCGGGCUGUCCGAGGAAGAAGAUGGACAACAGUCCCCACUCCCUCCAAAGGCAAACACUUCCUGAUCAACUGCAUGGAUUUGGGCCCCAAAAGGAGUUGGUCACUGAAAGAACACUAGAGCAGACACAGUUCUUUUUAGUGGACUUCCAAGAAAACACUUCGUCUGGAGAGAGGUCACAAGUCAAUUGUUCGUGUAUCUGUUUACCUCGCAAGAACCCAUAUUUUUCUUUUUUUAAAAAAAAAGAUUUAUCU
rnacentral:lncRNA from 1 species